UCCAGUCGGGGCGGGGGGAGGAGAAGGAGCGAGCGAGGCCGAAGGAGCCCCCCGCCCUCCUCUCCCUCGUCGACUGGGCCCGGGGAGGGGGCUCGGGGCUCAGGGGGGCCCUGCGGCUGCCCUCCUUCAAGGUGAAGCGGAAAGAGCCGUCGGAGCUGAACGAAGGGGGGGAGGAGAAACGGCCCCGGCCCCCCACCCCCCCCGAGGAGGAUGAGGACGACAAAGAACUGGCCCCCGGAGCCCCCCGGGCCGAGGCCCCCGGGAAGCGCCGGAAGCUUUUCCGGCUGGACAGCGAAGGGGAGGAGGCGUCCGAGGAGUCCUCCUCGGGCAAGG